AUAUAUUUAUUUCUGUCUCUGCUGAGAUUUAUUUGAAACUACAUCCACCAGUUCAGUCAUAGAAAUAUGCAACUGGGAGUUUCUCCUAUGAAUUCAAAGGAAGAACUGAAGAAAACCAGAUUGGACCUUUUGUUCCACCAAGAACCAAUUGGUAAUGGAUAACAUCUAAUUUAUUAGCUGAAUCCCAGAUGUCAUAGGUGGAAAUUUAUUUUGAGCAAAGCAGAGUCAUAUUCUGUGAAUCUUCGAGGUUGGGGGAGGCCUUGCUUAUGGAUAUCCAAACAGAAUACCCAGAAUAAUCUGUCUCCAUUUUUAAAAAGAUAUGUGCUGAAUCCCAAGAAUAUAUUCAAAGAGGUAAUAAGUAAUCACAGUAGUUUACAAUAGUUGAACUGACUAUAUUGAUUUUCAAAUUCUGUGUUUUCAGUUGUCUUUUUUUUAUUACUCUACCAACUUUAACUACAUGUAAAAUUGCAUUAUUAUUUUGAUACUCUCUUGUAUUUCAGAAUUGGUAGAAU